GCCGCCGUGGCUCAGUGGUAGAGCGUAUCCUUGGUAAGGAUAAGGUCAUGAGUCCGAUUCUCAUCGGCGGCACCA
rnacentral:tRNA from 1 species